rnacentral:rRNA from 1 species
CGAUUGAACGCUGGCGGAAUGCUUUACACAUGCAAGUCGAACGGCAGCACGGGGCAACCUGGUGGCGAGUGGCGAACGGGUGAGUAAUACAUCGGAACGUGCCCAAUCGUGGGGGAUAACGUAGCGAAAGUUACGCUAAUACCGCAUACGAUCUACGGAUGAAAGCGGGGGAUCGCAAGACCUCGCGCGAAUGGAGCGGCCGAUGUCAGAUUAGGUAGUUGGUGGGGUAAAGGCUCACCAAGCCAACGAUCUGUAGCUGGUCUGAGAGGACGACCAGCCACACUGGAACUGAGACACGGUCCAGACUCCUACGGGAGGCAGCAGUGGGGAAUUUUGGACAAUGGGCGCAAGCCUGAUCCAGCCAUUCCGCGUGCAGGAUGAAGGCCUUCGGGUUGUAAACUGCUUUUGUACGGAACGAAACGGUCUGCCCUAAUACGGUGGGCUAAUGACGGUACCGUAAGAAUAAGCACCGGCUAACUACGUG